rnacentral:rRNA from 1 species
UACGGAGGGUGCGAGCGUUGUCCGGAAUCACUGGGCGUAAAGGGCGCGUAGGCGGCCUGAUAAGUAGGGGGUGAAAUCCUGCGGCUUAACCGCAGGGCUGCCUUCUAAACUGUCAGGCUAGAGCACAGUAGAGGCAGGUGGAAUUCCCGGUGUAGCGGUGGAAUGCGUAGAGAUCGGGAGGAACACCGGUGGUGUAGACGGCUCUCUGGACCGUAACUGACGCUGAGACACGAAAGCGUGGGUAGCAAACAGG